rnacentral:pre_miRNA from 1 species
GACACUGUCAAUUUGGUCUUUAAGAUUUAAAAAAUGUCAAAAUGAUCCUCGACUUUACAUUCCGUUUGUCACGGUGUUAGGAGACUACUAACGGCAGGGACUAACGUGCCAAGGAUCAUUUUGAUAUUUUUUAAAUCUUAGGGACCAAAUUGACAGCGCC